rnacentral:rRNA from 1 species
UACGGAGGGGGCGAGCGUUAUUCGGAAUUAUUGGGCGUAAAGGGCGCGUAGGCGGCUUGGUAAGUCAAAGGUGAAAUCCCUCGGCUCAACUGAGGAAUUGCCUUUGAAACUGCCAGGCUUGAGGCCGGGAGGGGGUAGCGGAAUUCCCAGUGUAGCGGUGAAAUGCGUAGAUACUGGGAGGAACACCAGUGGCGAAGGCGGUUCUCUGGGAAUGUCCUGACGCUGAGGAGCGAAAGUGUGGGGAGCGAACAGG